rnacentral:antisense_RNA from 15 species
GAUACCCGUAAAUCACCAAUGGGUCAAGCGUGGGUUGCACCAGUCGCACCGUUUGAGUCGUGGCAUCAUAGAGGCCGCCCCAUGUGGUGGCUUUUAGGACUAGCAGCAGCGCGCCCGCUCCUAAAAACAGCAAAUGGUGCCCUAAGAUCAUCCCCAAUUGCUUGGGGUCGCCCCA